rfam:Brochothrix thermosphacta DSM 20171 = FSL F6-1036 c2, whole genome shotgun sequence.
ACCGAUGUUAUGACGAAGAUUAGUAAACAUAAAAAUUACUUACAAGAGAGCCUGUGGUUGCUGGAAAAUAGGCAAAUAAUUAUGUUGAAUGGACUUCCGAGCACUUUAUAUGAACCUUAAGUAGUAUAAAGCGUCUAAUCCACGUUAAACGAUGCCUUUUUAGGAAGGCACGAGUGGCCAAUUUAUUGGCACUUAGGGUGGUACCGCGGAUUCAACACAUUUUCGUCCCUUUU